AGAGUUUGAUCCUGGCUCAGGACGAACGCUUGCGGCGUGCCUAAGAAAUGCAAGUCGAACGGGGGUAGCGAUACCCUAGUGGCGAACGGUCGCGUAACACGUAAGCAACCUGCCCUGAAGUGGGGGACAACAGACCGAAAGGUCUGCUAAUACCGCAUGUGGCCAUUGCUUCGCAUGGAGUGAUGUCUAAAGCCUUGUGCGCUUCAGGAUGGGCUUGCGGCCUAUCAGGUAGUUGGUGGGGUAACGGCCUACCAAGCCGACGACGGGUAGCUGGUCUGAGAGGAUGGUCAGCCGGAUUGGGACUGAGAUACGGCCCAGACUCCUACGGGGGGCAGCAAUUAGGAAUCUUGCGCAAUGGGGGCAACCCUGACGCAGCGACGCCGCGUGCGGGAUGAAGGCAUUCGUGUCGUAAACCGCUUUUCUGGGGGAAGAAGUUCUGACGGUACCCCAGGAAUAAGCCCCGGCUAACUACGUGCCAGCAGCCGCGGUAAUACGUAGGGGGCGAGCGUUGUCCGAAGUUACUGGGCGUAAAGCGCGCGUAGGCGGUCCUUUAAGUCCGGGGUGAAAGGUUCAGCGCUCAACGCGAACAGUGCCUUGGAUACUGGGGGACUUGAGUCUGGGAGAGGGCAGUGGAAUUCCUGGUGUAGCGGUGAAAUGCGUAGAUAUCAGGAGGAACACCGGUGGCGAAGGCGGCUGCCUGGCCUAAGACUGACGCUGAGGUGCGAAAGCGUGGGGAGCGAACGGGAUUAGAUACCCCGGUAGUCCACGCCGUAAACGAUGAGUGCUAGGUGUCGGGGGUAUCGACCCCCCCGGUGCCGUCGCCAACGCAUUAAGCACUCCGCCUGGGGAGUACGGCCGCAAGGUUGAAACUCAAAGGAAUUGACGGGGGCCC
rnacentral:rRNA from 1 species